rnacentral:rRNA from 1 species
CAGCAGCCGCGGGAAUACGAAGGGUGCAAGCGUUACUCGGAAUUACUGGGCGUAAAGCGUGCGUAGGUGGUGGUUUAAGUCCGUUGUGAAAGCCCUGGGCUCAACCUGGGAAUUACAGUGGAUACUGGGUCACUAGAGUGUGGUAGAGGAUAGUGGAAUUUCCGGUGUAGCAGUGAAAUGCGUAGAGAUCGGAAGGAACAUCUGUGGCGAAGGCGACUAUCUGGGCCAACACUGACACUGAGGCACGAAAGCGUGGGGAGCAAACAGGAUUAGAUACCCCCGUAGUCCCUGUCUCUUAUAC